rnacentral:rRNA from 1 species
UACGAAGGGGGCUAGCGUUGCUCGGAAUCACUGGGCGUACAGGGAGCGUAGGCGGUUGGAUAAGCCCUCCGUGAAAUCUCCAGGCUUAACCUGGAAAGUGCAGAGGGGACUGUUCAGCUAGAGGAUGGGAGAGGAGCGCGGAAUUCCCGGUGUAGCGGUGAAAUGCGUAGAGAUCGGGAGGAAGGCCGGUGGCGAAGGCGGCGCUCUGGAACAUUUCUGACGCUGAGGCUCGAAAGCGUGGGGAGCAAACAGG